rnacentral:rRNA from 1 species
AGUCGUGGUGAUGGCACGUUGAAUGCCCAAGUUCCCGAUGGAUCACUCAAGUUGAACAACACUGAGCACGGUUAAUAUUCAGAUGGGUGACAUCUGGGCAAUCGCGUGCUGCUGGCGUUUC